rnacentral:rRNA from 1 species
AGCUUGCUCCUUGAUUCAGCGGCGGACGGGUGAGUAAUGCCUAGGAAUCUGCCUGGUAGUGGGGGACAACGUUCCGAAAGGGGCGCUAAUACCGCAUACGUCCUACGGGAGAAAGUGGGGGAUCUUCGGACCUCACGCUAUCAGAUGAGCCUAGGUCGGAUUAGCUAGUUGGUGAGGUAAUGGCUCACCAAGGCGACGAUCCGUAACUGGUCUGAGAGGAUGAUCAGUCACACUGGAACUGAGACACGGUCCAGACUCCUACGGGAGGCAGCAGUGGGGAAUAUUGGACAAUGGGCGAAAGCCUGAUCCAGCCAUGCCGCGUGUGUGAAGAAGGUCUUCGGAUUGUAAAGCACUUUAAGUUGGGAGGAAGGGCAGUAAGUUAAUACCUUGCUGUUUUGACGUUACCGACAGAAUAAGCACCGGCUAACUCUGUGCCAGCAGCCGCGGUAAUACAGAGGGUGCAAGCGUUAAUCGGAAUUACUGGGCGUAAAGCGCGCGUAGGUGGUUCGUUAAGUUGGAUGUGAAAGCCCCGGGCUCAACCUGGGAACUGCAUCCAAAACUGGCGAGCUAGAGUAUGGUAGAGGGUGGUGGAAUUUCCUGUGUAGCGGUGAAAUGCGUAGAUAUAGGAAGGAACACCAGUGGCGAAGGCGACCACCUGGACUGAUACUGACACUGAGGUGCGAAAGCGUGGGGAGCAAACAGGAUUAGAUACCCGGGUAGUCCACGCCGUAAACGAUGUCAACUAGCCGUUGGAAUCCUUGAGAUUUUAGUGGCGCAGCUAACGCAUUAAGUUGACCGCCUGGGGAGUACGGCCCCCAGGGUAAAACUCCAAAUGAAUUGACCGGGGGCCCGCCCAAGCGGUGGAACCAUG